CAGCAUGAUAGACAUUAAGGAUUUAUUGAAAUGUUAUGAUGUUGUUUUGAUAAAUAUUUGUGUGAUUAGAAUAAUAAGUUUGUGUUUAUUAUUGUGUGAUGUGACACAAUGAGAGUGACUGUUUAAUUUAACUAAGUGGUGUUUUGUUUCUUUCUCUAAUAGUCUGGGGUGAGUGUGACAAUUGAGAUGUUCAUGUUCUCUGAUCUCACAAUGUUUUUGUCAUUUUCUUGUCUGUCAUUUUUCAUCAUUUUUAUUGGAUGGACGUGAUCAGAGAAGGGUGAGUGUGACCAUUGAGAUGUUCAUUUUCUGUGAUCUCACAAUAUUUUUUGUCAUUAUCUUGUUUGUCGUUUUUCAUCACAUUCAUUGGAUGGACAUGAUCAGUCUGGGGUGAGUGUGACAAUUGAGAUGUUCAUGUUCUCUGAUGUCACAAUGUUUUUGUCAUUUUCUUGUCUGUCAUUUUUCAUCAUUUUUAAUGGAUGGACAUG